GAGAUAUCUGAAGAGAUUAUAGGAUCACCCAUCCCAGAACCUCGACAACGUUCAAGACUCUUAAGAUCUCAAUCAGAAAGUUCUGAUGAAGUUACAGAAUUGGACCUUUCACAUGGGAAAAAAGAUGCUUUUGUUUUGGAGAUUGAUGACACAGAUGCUAUGGAAGAUGUACAUUCUCUCCUUACUGAUGUUCCUCCUCCUUCAGGCUUUUAUAGUUGUAAUACAGAAAUUAUGCCUGGCAUAAAUAAUUGGACAUCUGAAAUACAGAUGUUCACAUCAGUAAGAGUAAUCCGAUUAAGCAGUCUUAACCUGACUAAUCAAGCCCUCAAUAAGAACUUUAAUGAUCUCUGUGAAAAUUUGCUGAAG